GGCUUACCAUGCCAGUCGAGGGGCAGCAUUUCAGUUUGCUUGCAAACUGGAGAUGGCGACCGGCGCACGGGUGAGUAACACGCUAUCCAACCUGCCGAUAACUCGGGGAUAGCCUUUCGAAAGAAAGAUUAAUACCCGAUGGNAUAAUCAGACCGCAUGGUCUUNUUAUUAAAGAAUUUCGGUUAUCGAUGGGGAUGCGUUCCAUUAGGCAGUUGGUGAGGUAACGGCUCACCAAACCUUCGAUGGAUAGGGGUUCUGAGAGGAAGGUCCCCCACAUUGGAACUGAGACACGGUCCAAACUCNUACGGGAGGCAGCAGUGAGGAAUAUUGGUCAAUGGGCGCAGGCCUGAACCAGCCAAGUAGCGUGAAGGAUGACUGCCCUAUGGGUUGUAAACUUCUUUUAUAUGGGAAUAAAGUUUUUCCACGUGUGGAAUUUUGUAUGUACCAUAUGAAUAAGGAUCGGCUAACUCCGUGCCAGCAGCCGCGGUAAUACGGAGGAUCCGAGCGUUAUCCGGAUUUAUUGGGUUUAAAAGGGAGCGUAGGUGGACAGUUAAGUCAGUUGUGAAAGUUUGCGGCUCAACCGUAAAAUUGCAGUUGAUACUGGCUGUCUUGAGUACAGUAGAGGUGGGCGGAAUUCGUGGUGUAGCGGUGAAAUGCUUAGAUAUCACGAAGAACUCCGAUUGCGAAGGCAGCUCACUGGACUGCAACUGACACUGAUGCUCGAAAGUGUGGGUAUCAAACAGGAUUAGAUACCCUGGUAGUCCACACAGUAAACGAUGAAUACUCGCUGUUUGCGAUAUACAGUAAGCGGCCAAGCGAAAGCAUUAAGUAUUCCACCUGGGGGAGUACGCCGGCAACGGUGAAACUCAAAGGAAUUGACGGGGGCCCGCACAAGCGGAGGAACAUGUGGUUUAAUUCGAUGAUACGCGAGGAACCUUACCCGGGCUUAAAUUGCAUUUGAAUAUANUUGGAAACAGUNUAGCCGNAAGGCAAAUGUGAAGGUGCUGCAUGGUUGUCGUCAGCUCGUGCCGUGAGGUGUCGGCUUAAGUGCCAUAACGAGCGCAACCCUUAUCUUUAGUUACUAACAGGUCAUGCUGAGGACUCUAGAGAGACUGCCGUCGUAAGAUGUGAGGAAGGUGGGGAUGACGUCAAAUCAGCACGGCCCUUACGUCCGGGGCUACACACGUGUUACAAUGGGGGGUACAGAAGGCAGCUACCUGGUGACAGGAUGCUAAUCCCAAAAGCCUCUCUCAGUUCGGAUCGAAGUCUGCAACCCGACUUCGUGAAGCUGGAUUCGCUAGUAAUCGCGCAUCAGCCAUGGCGCGGUGAAUACGUUCCCGGGCCUUGUACACACCGCCCGUCAAGCCAUGAAAGCCGGGGGUACCUGAAGUACGUAACCGCAAGGAGCUCCAGGAAAC
rnacentral:rRNA from 1 species